AUACGAAAGGUGCAAGCGUUGUUCGGAUUUACUGGGCGUAAAGAGAGUGUAGGUGGUUUAUUAAGUCGGAUGUGAAAUCCCGGGGCUCAACCUCGGAACUGCAUUCGAUACUGAUAGGCUAGAGUUUGGGAGGGGUAAGCGGAAUUCCGUGUGUAGCAGUGAAAUGCGUAGAUAUACGGAGGAACACCUGAGGCGAAGGCGGCUUACUGGACCAAUACUGACACCGAGACUCGAAAGCGUGGGUAGCAAACAGGAUUAGAAACCCGUGUAGUCC
rnacentral:rRNA from 1 species